rnacentral:misc_RNA from 1 species
GAUGAAGAACGUAGCGAAAUGCGAUACUUGGUGUGAAUUGCAGAAUCCCGUGAACCAUCGAGUCUUUGAACGCAAGUUGCGCCCGAAGCCAUCAGGUUGAGGGCACGUCUGCCUGGGCGUCACAUAUCGUUGCUCGAUGCCUAUCGCAUUGCGAUAGGACUUAGGGCGAAUGAUGGCUUCCCGUGAGCGUUGUUGCCUCGCGGUUGGUUGAAAAUCGAGUCCUUGGUAGGGUGUGCCAUGAUAGAUGGUGGUCGAGUUAGCAGGGGACCGAUCAUGUGCAUGCUCCCCAAAAUAUGGCCUCUGUGACCCACACGCGUCUUUUGACGCUCAUGACGAGACCUCAGGUCAGGCGGGGCUACCCGCUGAAUUUAAGCAUAUCAAUAAGCGGAGGA